GACGAACGCUGGCGGCGUGCUUAACACAUGCAAGUCGAACGGAGUGGCGAACGGGUGAGUAACACGUGGGUGACCUGCCCUGCACUUCGGGAUAAGCCUGGGAAACUGGGUCUAAUACCGGGUAGUGUGGGAUGGGCCCGUGGCCUAUCGGCUUGUUGGUGGGGUAAUGGCCUACCAAGGCGGCGACGGGUAGCCGGCCUGGGAGGGUGGACGGCCACAUUGGGACUGAGACACGGCCCAGGCGCGUACGGGGGGCAGCGGUGGGGAGUAUUGCACAAUGUGCGGAAGCCUGAUGCAGCGACGCCGCGUGGGGGAUGACGGCCUUCGGGUUGUAAACUCCUUUCACCAUCGACGCGGUAGAUGGAGAAGAAGCACCGGCUAACUACGUGCCAGCAGCCGCGGUAAUUC
rnacentral:rRNA from 1 species